GUCCAUUUCUAUCACAAUAGCAAUCCUUUUUAAAUGAAAUACACAUUGUUUUGUCUUCAAACUUCGAGUUUAUCCGCCUGAUAGUGGAUUUAAACUACCUCCGGACAUCGGAUAAAUUUAUCCAACGGAUAGUGCAUUUUAUCCGUUGGAUAGCGCUAUCCAAGCUUCGUACAACGCGAAUUUCACUCCGGAUAAAAUUUAUCUGCUGGAUAGGGACUUAUCCACCGGAUAGCGAUUUAUCCACCUUUCGUACAACCGGCCCCAG